CUGUCUAGUGUCAGAAUGACAUCCACACUUCUCUGUCCAGUGAAAGAGACGAAGGCGAAGAGGAAGAGGAAGCUGAUUGUUGACAACCUGAAAGAGCUGGACAGUAAGUCGAUCCGCGCCCAGCUCAGCGACUACUCGGACAUCGUGACCACGUUGGACCUGGCCCCUCCCACCAAGAAGCUGAUGAUGUGGAAAGAGACCGGAGGAGUGGAGAAACUCUUCUCUCUCCCCGCACAGCCGCUCUGGAACGGCAAACUGUUGAAGAUGUUUACGCGCUGCCUGACUCCCCUGGUGCCGGAUGAGAUGAGGAAGAGGAGGAAGGGAGGAGAGGCUGAUAGUCUGGAUGAGUUCCUGAAGGACCUGGAGAACCCCGAGGUGCCCAGAGAGGAGGCUCUGUCUGGCAGGGACGUUAUUGACCAGACCAUCAUGGAAACCAACCCAGUCUCUCUGCAGGCCUCAGCCAUGGAGGGAAGUAGGACGACUCCUGGACCAGACCUGUCAUUAUGCAAACCACCCUCCACCCCACAGACGGACUCAAACACAAGGAGGCUGGCCUGCCCAUGGGAGCCCAGGAGCCUCAGGCUGAUCUCUCAGUCCUCUCCAUGGCCCAGGUAGACCUGCCCCAGGUAGACCUGCCCCAGGUAGACCUGCCCCCAGAGGAGAGCCUCAGCCUCACACAGCUGGUCCCUGAGCUGGAUCUGCUGGACAAGGAGAAGAAGGACAAGGAUGACAGUGAUGAGGAGGAGGAGGAGGGGGAUCCAACUCAGGACCAGGAGGAGAAGAGGUGGAACAAGAGGACCCAACAGAUGCUACAUGGCCUUCAGCGAGUCAUGGCCAAGACGGGAGCCGAGCAGGUCAGCUUGUUGGCGCUGUGCCGAGACAACAACAAGAAGCAGGCGGCCGCCAAGUUCUACAGUUUCCUGGUUCUGAAGAAACAGCAGGCCAUCGAGCUCAACCAGACCGAGCCUUACAGUGACAUCAUCGCUACAGCCGGACCAAGAUUCCACCUGGUUUAGACACUGCCUGCGGUCCAAAUGGCACCAGUUCCUAUACAGCGCCCUACUUUUGACCAGAGCCCUCCUAGGGUUCUGGGCAAAAGUAGUGCACUAUAUAGGGAAUAUGGUGCUAUUUGGAAAUGUCUUUCUCACUAUUUUUAUGUAUGUUUUAGUUGUUUGUUUUUGUUUUGUUGGGGGGGUCAUAAAUGCUAACUUUGAGAAGGAUUGUACUGUUUCUACCACCAACUGAAUCAUGCAGUAUUGUUGUUUUUUUAGUGAGAAAUGCAUUUAUCCAGUAUAUUUAUAUUUCCUGUCAAGUUUUUUUUUUUUUUUUCAUUUUGUAAAGCUUUCCGACCACACUCGUUGUUUUGUUUUGGGGGUAGUGGGUGGGGGUGGGGGGGGUUUGGAAUAAUACAUGUCCCACUGCUCGGUAACGGUCAAAUUCAUCAAAAGAUUCAUCCAAUUUUUUUAGUCUCCAAUCAAGAUUUCCCCUCCAAAAAUUGUGUAAGAACAUUUAGUCUUUCAUGCUAACAUACAUGCUGUUUACAGGUACUGUUAUAUCAUGAGAGAAACGGAAUAAGUGCUCUUCACCUCGAGGUCUUCCUCAUUGCACUUGACAUAAAAUCCUGGCUUUCAUAUUAAAAAGCAAAUGUUUCGUUUUUACAGUUUGUUAUUUCUGUUGAUAAAUUGGCUAUAUUACGACUAGCAUUGCAUUGUAUUGUUUAGGUGUGUAAUAAUGCCCAUUUUAUUCACGUUGCGUUUUGUACCUCCACAGCUAUGUUUCUUGUCGUUGCAUAAAGUAACUAGACGCUUGUACAUGUUUCAAUGAAAGUUGAUGAUCCCAUGUUUUUUAAGUCUUAUGGUUAACUAGCUGUUGUGAUACUUCUGUAAAGAAUUUGAAAUAAAAGUGUUUUAAUUA